rnacentral:rRNA from 1 species
CCUACGGGAGGCAGCAGUGGGGAAUAUUGGGCAAUGGGCGCAAGCCUGACCCAGCAACGCCGCGUGAAGGAAGAAGGCUUUCGGGUUGUAAACUUCUUUUAAGAGGGAAGAGUAGAAGACGGUACCUCUUGAAUAAGCCACGGCUAACUACGUGCCAGCAGCCGCGGUAAUACGUAGGUGGCAAGCGUUGUCCGGAUUUACUGGGUGUAAAGGGCGUGUAGCCGGGCCGGCAAGUCAGAUGUGAAAUCCCAAGGCUCAACCUUGGAACUGCAUUUGAAACUGUUGGUCUUGAGUAUCGGAGAGGCAGGCGGAAUUCCUAGUGUAGCGGUGAAAUGCGUAGAUAUUAGGAGGAACACCAGUGGCGAAGGCAGCGUACCGGCUCCACACUGACGCUGAGGCACGAAAGCGUGGGUAUCGAACAGGAUUAGAUACCCCAGUAGUC